rnacentral:rRNA from 1 species
GACGAACGCUGGCGGCGUGCUUAACACAUGCAAGUCGAACGAAGUGGCGAACGGGUGAGUAACGCGUAAUCAACCUGCCCUUCAGCGGGGGACAACAGUUGGAAACGACUGCUAAUACCGCAUACGGAAGGAGGGGAUUGCGUCUGAUUAGGUAGUUGGGGGGGUAACGGCCCACCAAGGCGAGGAUCAGUAGCCGGUCUGAAAGGCUGAACGGCCAUGUCGGGGCUGAGACCCGGCCCAGACUCCUACGAGAGGCAGCAGUGGGGAAUCUUCCGGAAUGGACGAAAGUCUGACGGGGCAACGCCGGGUGAGUGAUGACGGCCUUCGGGUUGUAAAGCUCUGUUAGUCGGGACACGGUACCUGAAUAGAAAGCCACGGCUAACUACGUGCCAGCAGCCGCGGUAAUAC